rnacentral:rRNA from 1 species
UCCGCGCUGCAUUAGCUAGUUGGUAAGGUAACGGCUUACCAAGGCAACGAUGCAUAGCCGACCUGAGAGGGUGAUCGGCCACACUGGAACUGAGACACGGUCCAGACUCCUACGGGAGGCAGCAGUAGGGAAUCUUCCGCAAUGGGCGAAAGCCUGACGGAGCAACGCCGCGUGAGUGAUGAAGGUCUUCGGAUCGUAAAACUCUGUUAUUAGGGAAGAACAUAUGUGUAAGUAACUGUGCACAUCUUGACGGUACCUAAUCAGAAAGCCACGGCUAACUACGUGCCAGCAGCCGCGGUAAUACGUAGGUGGCAAGCGUUAUCCGGAAUUAUUGGGCGUAAAGCGCGCGUAGGCGGUUUUUUAAGUCUGAUGUGAAAGCCCACGGCUCAACCGUGGAGGGUCAUUGGAAACUGG